rnacentral:rRNA from 1 species
UACGGAGGGUGCAAGCGUUGCUCGGAAUCACUGGGCGUAAAGCGACCGCAGGCGGCCUGACAAGUCGGAUGUGAAAGCCCUGGGCUCAACUCAGGAAUUGCAUUCGAAACUGGUAGGCUCGAGUACGGGAGAGGGGGGUGGAAUUCCUGGUGUAGGGGUGAAAUUCGUUGAUAUCAGGAGGAACACCGGCGGCGAAGGCGGCCCCCUGGCCCGCAACUGACGCUCAUGGUCGAAAGCGUGGGGAGCAAACAGG